CUCCGGUUGAUCCCGCGGGACCCGACUGCUAUCAGAGUGGGACUAAGCCAUGCGAGUCAACGUAGCAAUACGUGGCAUACGGCUCAGUAACACGUAGUCAACAUGCCCAGGGGACGAGGAUAACCUCGGGAAACUGAGGAUAAACCUCGAUAGGCCAUGAUUUCUGGAAUGAUUCUUGGCUCAAACCUAUAUGGCCCCUGGAUUGGACUGCGGCCGAUCAGGCUGUUGGUGAGGUAAUGGCCCACCAAACCUAUUACCGGUACGGGCUCUGAGAGGAGGAGCCCGGAGGUGGGCACUGAGACAAGGGCCCAGGCCCUAUGGGGCGCAGCAGGCGCGAAACCUCUGCAAUAGGCGAAAGCUUGACAGGGUUACUCUGAGUGAUUUCCGCUAAGGGAAUCUUUUGGCACCUCUAAAAAUGGUGCAGAAUAAGGGGUGGGCAAGUCUGGUGUCAGCCGCCGCGGUAAUACCAGCACCCCGAGUGGUCGGGACGAUUAUUGGGCCUAAAGCAUCCGUAGCCGGUCCUGCAAGUCUUCCGUUAAAUCCAGCUGCUCAACAGAUGGGCUGCGGGAGAUACUACAGGGCUAGGAGGCGGGAGAGGCAAGCGGUACUUUAUGGGUAGGGGUAAAAUCCGCUGAUCCAUAGAAGACCACCAGUGGCGAAGGCGGCUUGCCAGAAUGCGCUCGACGGUGAGGGAUGAAAGCUGGGGGAGCAAACCGGAUUAGAUACCCGGGUAGUCCCAGCCGUAAACGAUGCAGACUCGGUGAUGGGUUGGCUUCGCGCUAACCCAGUGCCGCAGGGAAGCCGUUAAGUCUGCCGCCUGGGGAGUACGGUCGCAAGACUGAAACUUAAGGAAUUGGCGGGGGAGCA
rnacentral:rRNA from 1 species